rnacentral:rRNA from 1 species
GCGACCGGCGCACGGGUGAGUAACACGUAUCCAACCUGCCCUUUACUCGGGGAUAGCCUUUCGAAAGAAAGAUUAAUACCCGAUAGCAUAAUGAUUCCGCAUGGUUUCAUUAUUAAAGGAUUCCGGUAAAGGAUGGGGAUGCGUUCCAUUAGGUUGUUGGUGAGGUAACGGCUCACCAAGCCUUCGAUGGAUAGGGGUUCUGAGAGGAAGGUCCCCCACAUUGGAACUGAGACACGGUCCAA